AAUCUUGCGCAAUGGGCGAAAGCCUGACGCAGCCAUGCCGCGUGAAUGAUGAAGGACNNNGGAUUNUCAAAUUCUUUCAUUGGNGACNAUAAUGACGGUACCCGGAGAAGAAGACCCGGCUAACUUCGUGCCAGCAGCCGCGGUCAUACGAAGGGGGUUAGCGUUGCCCGGAAUUACUGGGCGUAAAGGGCGCGUAGGCGGAUCGUUAAGUGAGAGGUGAAAUCCCAGGGCUCAACCCUGGAACUGCCUUUGAUACUGGCGAUCUUGAGUAUGAGAGAGGUAUGUGGAACUCCGAGUGUAGAGGUGAAAUUCGUAGAUAUUCGGAAGAACACCAGUGGCGAAGGCGACAUACUGGCUCAUUACUGACGCUGAGGCGCGAAAGCGUGGGGAGCAAACAG
rnacentral:rRNA from 1 species